AGAGUUUGAUCCUGGCUCAGAACGAACGCUGGCGGCGUGGAUAAGACAUGCAAGUCGAACGAGAGAAUUGCUAGCUUGCUAAUAAUUCUCUAGUGGCGCACGGGUGAGUAACACGUGAGUAACCUGCCCCCAAGAGUGGGAUAGCCCCGGGAAACUGGGAUUAAUACCGCAUAAAAUCGCAAGAUUAAAGCAGCAAUGCGCUUGGGGAUGGGCUCGCGUCCUAUUAGUUAGUUGGUGAGGUAACGGCUCACCAAGGCGAUGACGGGUAGCCGGUCUGAGAGGAUGUCCGGCCACACUGGAACUGAGACACGGUCCAGACACCUACGGGUGGCAGCAGUCGAGAAUCAUUCACAAUGGGGGAAACCCUGAUGGUGCGACGCCGCGUGGGGGAAUGAAGGUCUUCGGAUUGUAAACCCCUGUCAUGUGGGAGCAAAUUAAAAAGAUAGUACCACAAGAGGAAGAGACGGCUAACUCUGUGCCAGCAGCCGCGGUAAUACAGAGGUCUCAAGCGUUGUUCGGAAUCACUGGGCGUAAAGCGUGCGUAGGCGGUUUCGUAAGUCGUGUGUGAAAGGCGGGGGCUCAACCCCCGGACUGCACAUGAUACUGCGAGACUAGAGUAAUGGAGGGGGAACCGGAAUUCUCGGUGUAGCAGUGAAAUGCGUAGAUAUCGAGAGGAACACUCGUGGCGAAGGCGGGUUCCUGGACAUUAACUGACGCUGAGGCACGAAGGCCAGGGGAGCGAAAGGGAUUAGAUACCCCUGUAGUCCUGGCAGUAAACGGUGCACGCUUGGUGUGCGGGGAAUCGACCCCCUGCGUGCCGGAGCUAACGCGUUAAGCGUGCCGCCUGGGGAGUACGGUCGCAAGAUUAAAACUCAAAGGAAUUGACGGGGACCCGCACAAGCGGUGGAGCAUGUGGUUUAAUU
rnacentral:rRNA from 1 species